UCUUGGAAAUAAAAAGAAGAUCUACCAGAGUACUAUGAAUUUGAAGAUUUAAAACUCAAAGGGCUUGGCGGUGCUUUUAGACCUUUCAGGGGAACCUGUCUUGUAAUCGACAAUCCACGCUAUACCUAACCUUUUUUUGUAUACAGUUUGUAUACCGUCGUCGUCAGGUAACUUUUAAAAAUUUAAUAGUUAGCAAGAAAACUUAAUAACUUUAAACGUCAGAUCAAGGUGCAAUUAAUAAAAAGGUUAAGAUGGGUUACAAUUAUAUAUUAAUAAUAAAACGGAUAGUUAAUUGAAACAUUAUCUUAAAGGAGGACUUGAAAGUAAAGAUAUUUAUAUAUAUAAAUUGAAUAAGGCUCUGAAGCGUGC
rnacentral:rRNA from 1 species